CGAGCUCUUUUCCUCUUCUUCCUUCUCCAAAAAAAAGAGGCCUAAUGGGCAACGGGUCGCAUCCAAUCAGCUCAGGAUUACGAAGUCAGGUUGUUGCCAAAAAAGGAGACGCAUCGCUUCAUGCCGAGAAUUGUGAUGACUACUCAAAUGCUUGAGGAUUAAUGAGAAUUUUUUUUUGCCUUCAGGUGUCAUUCAUAAAUUGCAGCAAAAGUACAGGAAUGAAAUGAUCCAAAGUUCGUCCUUGCUACAGAAUGGCAUGCCUCACAUACCUUAUGAAUGACUCACACGACUACCCCAAUGGAAUGACGAGCUCGAAAGAACGAAACUGGGCCUCCUGCGCUUUGGAUGAGAAACAUAAAAGCUUCGUCCCUAUCGCCAGGAAAAAUGCAUGAAAUGAUGGGAAUUAACGAACACUGCGGGAGAAAACAAGUCAUUAAUCGCUCGACGUUCCUUCCUCGAUACCACUUGAGUAAUUAGUAAUUAGUUCUUACUUGCCAGUAAAAUGUGUUCAUUGCCAUUCCAUAAGAUCAACGAAGUCAUUAAAAAUCAAUCAAAUACAAGCAUAACAAACAAUGAGCUAACCAAUCUCAUAACUCAUUGGAUUCAACUUCGACGAGAGGAGGGAGACCCAUUUCCCGCAUUGUCGAUCUCGCUGUCUUCCGUCACGAUCAAGGGUUCAACAUCAUCAUCAUCAUCAUCAUCCACUCCCUCGAUCUCGUCCUCCUCGCUUAGAAUUGAAUCGCAGCCGAGCUGUUUUCUGAAUAUAAAAACGAGGAUAUCGAACACCACCAAAGCGACGAGAGCAGUGCCAACCAGGUAUGGAAUGUAAUCGUAAUUCCACUUCUUACGACAAUCAUACUUCAAAUGAGUGAAAUGUUUGGCGAAUCGAUUGUGGCGGAAUGCUUCCA